AGAGUUUGAUCAUGGCUCAGGACGAACGCUGGCGGCGUGCCUAACACAUGCAAGUCGAGCGGAAAGGCCCCUUCGGGGGUACUCGAGCGGCGAACGGGUGAGUAACAUGUGGGUAAUCUGCCCUGGACACAGGAACAACCAGUGGAAACGCUGGCUAAUGCCUGAUGACGUGCCGCCCCCUCGGGGGUCGGCACCAAAGGUAGCUUCGGCCUCCGGUCCUGGAUGAGCCCGCGGCCCAUUAGCUUGUUGGCGGGGUAACGGCCCACCAAGGCGACGAUGGGUAGCUGGUCUGAGAGGACGAUCAGCCACACUGGGACUGAGACACGGCCCAGACUCCUACGGGAGGCAGCAGUGGGGAAUCUUGCGCAAUGGGCGAAAGCCUGACGCAGCAACGCCGCGUGCGGGAAGAAGGCCUUCGGGUUGUAAACCGCUUUCAGCAGGGACGAAGGCGAGCGGGUUAAUAGCCCGUCAGUUGACUGUACCUGCAGAAGAAGGCCCGGCUAACUACGUGCCAGCAGCCGCGGUAAUACGUAGGGGCCGAGCGUUGUCCGGAAUCAUUGGGCGUAAAGAGCGUGUAGGCGGCCCUCUAAGUCCUGCGUGAAAUCCUGCGGCUCAACCGCAGGCGGUCGUGGGAAACUGGGGGGCUCGAGUGCGGGAGAGGAGAGUGGAAUUCCCGGUGUAGCGGUGAAAUGCGCAGAUAUCGGGAAGAACACCCGUGGCGAAGGCGGCUCUCUGGAACGCAACUGACGCUGAGACGCGAAAGCGUGGGGAGCAAACAGGAUUAGAUACCCUAGUAGUCC
rnacentral:rRNA from 1 species